UGGGCUUAGAUUUUUUGCGGCGUU
rnacentral:miRNA from 1 species